rnacentral:rRNA from 1 species
UGAAUACGAGAUACUAAGGUAUCGAAGUGGUUGAUGUCAUACUUCCAAGAAAAGCUCGAAAUAUCUUAAACAAUAAACGCCUGUACCUUAAACCGACACAGGUAGGUAGGUAGAGUAUACCAAGGGGCGCGAGAUAACUCUCUCUAAGGAACUCGGCAAAAUAACCUCGUAACUUCGGAAGAAGAGGUACCCUUGCAAGAGGGUUGCAAUAACCAGACCCUGGCGACUGUUUACCAAAAACACAGGUCUCCGCUAAUUCGUAAGAUUAUGUAUGGAGGCUGACGCCUGCCCAGUGCCGGAAGGUUAAAGAAGUCGGUCAAUCCUCGGAUGAAGCUGGCGACUGAAGCCCCGGUGAACGGCGGCCGUAACUAUAACGGCCCUAAGGUAGCGAAGUUCCUUGUCGGGUAAGUUCCGACCCGCACGAAAGGCGUAACGAUCAGGGUGCUGUCUCGGAGAGAGGCUCGGCGAAAUAGACAUGUCUGUGAAGAUGCGGACUACCUGCACCUGGACAGAAAGACCCUAUGAAGCUUUACUGUAUCUUGGAAUUGGGUUUGGGCCUUGCUUGCGCAGGAUAGGUGGGAGGCUUUGAAGAUGCUCUUGCGGGAGCGUUGGAGCCAAUGGUGAGAUACCACUCUAGCAUGGCUAAAAUUCUAACUUUGAACCGUUAUCCGGUCGAAGAACAGUUUCAGGUGGGCAGUUUGACUGGGGCGGUCGCCUCCUAAAAGGUAACGGAGGCGUGCAAAGGUUCCCUCAGGCUGGUCGGACAUCAGUCGUAGAGUGUAAAGGCAUAAGGGAGCUUGACUGCGAGACCUACAAGUCGAGCAGAGACGAAAGUCGGCCUUAGUGAUCCGACGGUUCCGAGUGGAAGGGCCGUCGCUCAACGGAUAAAAGUUACUCUAAGGAUAACAGGCUGAUCUCCCCCAAGAGUUCAUAUCGACGGGGAGGUUUGGCACCUCGAUGUCGGCUCAUCGCAUCCUGGGGCGGUAGUACGUCCCAAGGGUUGGGCUGUUCGCCCAUGAAAGCGGUACGCGAGCUGGGUUCAGAACGUCGUGAGACAGUUCGGUCCAUAUCCGGUGCAGGCGUUAGAGUAUUGAGAGGAGUCCCCCUUAGUACGAGAGGACCGGGGGGAAUACACCGCUGGUGUACCAGUUAUCGUGCCAACGGUAGGCACUGGGUAGCCAAGUGUAGAGUGGAUAACUGCUGAAAGCAUCUAAGUAGGAAGCCCACCUCAAGACGAGUACUCUCACCGUUAUAAACGGUUAAGAUCACGGGAAGAACACCCGUUAUAUAGGCACUAAGUGUAAGUACAGUAAUGUAUUCAGCUGAGGUGUACUAACUGAUCGAGGGCUUGAC